rnacentral:rRNA from 1 species
GACGAACGCUGGCGGCGUGCUUAACACAUGCAAGUCGAACGGAAAGGCCCUGCUUUUGUGGGGUGCUCGAGUGGCGAACGGGUGAGUAACACGUGAGUAACCUGCCCUUGACUUUGGGAUAACUUCAGGAAACUGGGGCUAAUACCGGGUAUGAGCUCCUGCUGCAUGGUGGGGGUUGGAAAGUUUCGGCGGUUGUGGAUGGACUCGCGGCUUAUCAGCUUGUUGGUGGGGUAGUGGCUUACCAAGGCUUUGACGGGUAGCCGGCCUGAGAGGGUGACCGGCCACAUUGGGACUGAGAUACGGCCCAGACUCCUACGGGCGGCAGCAGUGGGGAAUAUUGCACAAUGGGCGGAAGCCUGAUGAAGCAACGCCGCGUGCGGGAUGACGGCCUUCGGGUUGUAAACCGCUUUCGCCUGUGACGAAGCGUGAGUGACGGUAAUGGGUAAAGAAGCACCGGCUAACUACGUG